UUGAAAAGAAUGUCUUAAAAACCAGAUGAGACAUCUAUUCAUUGUGUCGAACAACAAUUAAAUAGGUUAUUGGAGAAUAUUUAUAUUUGGGCUAUUGAAUAGUAAAGAAUUUAGGCAAAAUUGAUGUUUGUGUUUUUUUUUUCCCCAGCAUGCUGAAGGAGUAUGCUAGCUUUCAGUGUGAUUGGUGAGACAUGCUGAUGGUAGGACAAAGAAUGAUGCUGGUGGGAGUUCUCAGAGUGCCCUGACAACAGUGAUUGGCAAGCUAUUUUGGACAUAUGUUCCUGACCCACCUUUGCUUGCCUAUAUCCCAGAUUGGACAAGCUCCCUUGUUUCAAGCUUUUAGACCUUGUGGGAAAGAAAACAUGAAGACUGUGGAAACUUCCAUCAAAAACUUGAUCAAAAGGGGAAGUUAUGAUGACUCUUCUCUCUCCUUUAAGGUCCCUUCCCUUGAGAAUCCUGUUUAUGUACUACAGGUUGGGGCAAAUAGGGAUUUGGUCAUCGCCAUAAAAGUAAUGGGAUGCUCAGAGACAAAAAAUGAAAAUAUUGUUUUUUGGAUGUGAGAAGCCAAGAUGAUAGACUCAUUUCAUGCUAUUACCUCAUUGGCAUAUUGUGAGGAAAUGAAGACCCCUUCCAUUGAACACAGA